rnacentral:rRNA from 2 species
AGCAUAGCGAUUUGGGAUAAGUCCCUUGGAAGAGGACAGCAUCGAGGGUGAUACUCCCGUUUCUGCCCGAGUAGCUUGUGCGUACGACACGUUUUCUUUGAGUCGCGUUGUUUGGGACUGCGGCGCAAAGUAGGUGGUAAAUUCCAUCUAAAGCUAAAUAUUGGUGCGAGACCGAUAGCGAACAAGUACCGUGAGGGAAAGAUGAAAAGAACUUUGAAAAGAGAGUUAAAGAGUACCUGAAACUGCUGAAAGGGAAGCGAAUCGUAUCCAGCGUCUAUAAUCUGUAGCAUAUUUCAUUGGCGAGUAGGUGCGUGCAGUAUGUAAGAAGUGGUUUUCUGCUCUUUGUACUGUUCUGCGUUUGCUUCUUGGUGCCCUGUGUUGCGGUGGGACGUCAGAGUCAGUUCGUAUGCUGUGAGAAAUGGCUACUGAGGAGGUAGGUUAGGAGCUUGCUCUUGGCUGUUAUAUCUUGGUAGUUAGUUGUCGUGGUUGAGACUGAGGUGCC